rfam:Trichobilharzia regenti genome assembly, scaffold: TRE_scaffold0004895
AUCCAGGUGACGAGUCCCAAAUAGAACGAAAUGCGCUUUAUCCUGGAU